rnacentral:rRNA from 1 species
UACGUAGGGGGCGAGCGUUGUCCGGAUUUAUUGGGCGUAAAGAGCUCGUAGGCGGCUUGGCAAGUCGGGUGUGAAACCUCCAGGCUCAACCUGGAGACGCCACUCGAUACUGCUAUGGCUAGAGUCCGGUAGGGGACCACGGAAUUCCUGGUGUAGCAGUGAAAUGCGUAGAUAUCAGGAGGAACACCCGUGGCGAAGGCGGCUUCCUGGCCAUAUCCUGACGCUGAGGUGCGAAAGCCAGGGGAGCGAACGGG